rnacentral:rRNA from 1 species
AUGCAAGUCGAACGGUAACAUAAGUGCUUGCACUUGAUGACGACCGGCGCACGGGUGCGUAACGCGUAUAGAACCUACCUUAUAGUAAGGGAUAGCCCAGAGAAAUUUGGAUUAAUACCUUAUAGUAUUAUUGAUUGGCAUCGAUUAAUAAUUAAAGAUUUAUUGCUAUAAGAUGGCUAUGCGUUCUAUUAGCUAGUUGGUAUGGUAACGGCAUACCAAGGCUACGAUAGAUAGGGGUCCUGAGAGGGAGAUCCCCCACACUGGUACUGAGACACGGACCAGACUCCUACGGGAGGCAGCAGUGAGGAAUAUUGGACAAUGGAGGCAACUCUGAUCCAGCCAUGCCGCGUGUAGGAAGACUGCCCUAUGGGUUGUAAACUACUUUUAUAGAGGAAGAAACCCCGAUAUGUAUAUCGGUCUGACGGUACUCUACGAAUAAGGAUCGGCUAACUCCGUGCCAGCAGCCGCGGUAAUACGGAGGAUCCAAGCGUUAUCCGGAAUCAUUGGGUUUAAAGGGUCCGUAGGCGGUUUUGUAAGUCAGUGGUGAAAGUUUUCGGCUCAACUGGAAAAUUGCCAUUGAUACUGCAAGACUUGAAUUAUUGUGAAGUGGUUAGAAUGUGUAGUGUAGCGGUGAAAUGCAUAGAUAUUACACAGAAUACCGAUUGCGAAGGC